rnacentral:rRNA from 1 species
UACGUAGGGUGCGAGCGUUUGUCCGGAAUUAUUGGGCGUAAAGAGCUUGUAGGCGGUUUGUCGCGUCGGGAGUGAAAACUCAGGGCUUAACCCUGAGCCUGCUUCCGAUACGGGCAGACUAGAGGUAUGCAGGGGAGAACGGAAUUCCUGGUGUAGCGGUGAAAUGCGCAGAUAUCAGGAGGAACACCGGUGGCGAAGGCGGUUCUCUGGGCAUUACCUGACGCUGAGGAGCGAAAGUGUGGGGAGCGAACAGG